rnacentral:rRNA from 1 species
AUUGAACGCUGGCGGAAUGCUUUACACAUGCAAGUCGAACGGCAGCACGGGGCAACCUGGUGGCGAGUGGCGAACGGGUGAGUAAUAUAUCGGAACGUGCCCAAUCGUGGGGGAUAACGUAGCGAAAGUUACGCUAAUACCGCAUACGAUCUACGGAUGAAAGCGGGGGACCGCAAGACCUCGCGCGAAUGGAGCGGCCGAUAUCAGAUUAGGUAGUUGGUGGGGUAAAGGCUCACCAAGCCAACGAUCUGUAGCUGGUCUGAGAGGACGACCAGCCACACUGGAACUGAGACACGGUCCAGACUCCUACGGGAGGCAGCAGUGGGGAAUUUUGGACAAUGGGCGCAAGCCUGAUCCAGCCAUUCCGCGUGCAGGAUGAAGGCCUUCGGGUUGUAAACUGCUUUUGUACGGAACGAAACGGUCUGCCCUAAUACGGCGGGCUAAUGACGGUACCGUAAGAAUAAGCACCGGCUAACUACGUG